GCAAAAGUGAUGUAGUGGUUUGAGCAUUGGAUCAUAACUCUGGAGAUCAGGGUUCGAUUCCCUGCUUGGCCA